GGCCUUCCUGGGCCUUUCUGCUGUUGCCACCAUCGCCAUCUUGUAUGUGAGGUGUUUGGCGGGGACUGGCGCGGUCUUGUGUAUCCGUCGCCAUCCGACUACAGUCUUGUCGUCUGUACUCGGGAACUGAGCCCAGGGGCUCCACCCCAGCAUGAGAGCUAAGUGGCGAAAGAAGCGAAUGCGCAGGCUGAAGCGCAAAAGGAGAAAGAUGAGGCAGAGGUCCAAGUAGACAUCGCUCACAGUGCUACUGAAGCUGCAAAACAGCAUGGAAGGGUGGAGCUUGGGAAGCUGACUUCCAGAUAAUGCCUCCUAUUUGUUGCUGCUGCUGCUGCUACUAGAAGACUCCUUACCUAUCUUCAGGCGGUUCCAUCUUAAAGCCUAGGAGCUGUUAUCCUUCAAGGGUGUUGCCCCUGAGCUUUACUAUUCUGGACUGAUCCUGUUCUUUGCGGCAUGAUGUAGCUACUGUAUAAAAUAAAGCCUUUUUUGGAGGAA